rnacentral:rRNA from 1 species
UAUGGCUGUUCGCCAUUUAAAGUGGUACGCGAGCUGGGUUUAGAACGUCGUGAGACAGUUCGGUCCCUAUCUGCCGUGGGCGUUGGAAGAUUGAAGGGGGCUGCUCCUAGUACGAGAGGACCGGAGUGGACGAACCUCUGGUGUUCGGGUUGUGUCGCCAGACGCAUUGCCCGGUAGCUAAGUUCGGAAUCGAUAACCGCUGAAAGCAUCUAAGCGGGAAGCGAGCCCUGAGAUGAGUCUUCCCUGAUAYUUUAAGUAUCCUAAAGGGUUGUCGGAGACUACGACGUUGAUAGGUCAGGUGUGUAAGUGCUGUGAGGCAUUGAGCUAACUGAUACUAAUUGCCCGUGAGGCUUAACCAUACAACACCCAAGGGGUUU